UACGAAGGGGGCUAGCGUUGUUCGGAAUUAUUGGGCGUAAAGCGCGUGUAGGCGGCUUUGCAAGUCGGGUGUGAAAGCCCUCGGCUCAACCGAGGAAGUGCGCCCGAAACUGCAGAGCUUGAGUACCGGAGAGGAUGGCGGAAUUCCCCAAGUAGAGGUGAAAUUCGUAGAUAUGGGGAGGAACACCGGUGGCGAAGGCGGCCAUCUGGACGGAUACUGACGCUGAGACGCGAAAGCGUGGGGAGCAAACAGG
rnacentral:rRNA from 1 species